CUCAUGCCUCCUAUGUCAACAGCCAUAGCUGUGAUGGAGGUUGGAGAUAUACUUGAUGAUAACUAUUCUGGAGAGGCAUCCGUGGGUUGUUACAUUAAAAAACAACUAAUCAGGCCGUGAAGGAAGAUAAGCUGCUACUAGCACAGGAACAUGUAUGUUUCGAGAUCGAAGAAGGAUACGGAGAGACCAAUCCAUAUGUGUCUACCUUGUUCGACGAAAUAUGGUACGUGGAAGACGUUGGUGACUGUUGCUCCCGCAUUUCUUCAAAAUUCAAAACAAAGAAGGAUGACAACGAUGAAGAUGGAGAAGAGGUUGACAGCUUUGCAUGCAGAAGGCGUAAAACUGGAAGCCAGCCAGUGCUCACUGCCAUUUAGGGAAAAUAUAUUAAUAAGCACUUGACGGUUGUGUUGGCUAUCUAUAUAUGAGAAUAAAAAUAUGCUAUUUUCAUUUGAAUUUAGUUAUAUCACAUGUCUCACCUAAGAAUUAAUUUCUAUUUCAGAUUAAUGUGUGUCUUUAAAUA